rnacentral:rRNA from 1 species
AGAGUUUGAUCAUGGCUCAGGACGAACGCUGGCGGCGUGCCUAAUACAUGCAAGUCGAACGGACAUCGCAAGAUGUUAAUGGCGACCGGGUGCGUAACACGUAGCUGACCUGCCCCUCAGCGGGGGACAACAGUGCGAAAGCGCUGCUAAUACCGCAUACGCUCGGAGUGCUUAGAAGGCUCCGAGGAAACUUACGGGGUUGAGGGAGGGAGCUGCGGCCCAUCAGGUAGUUGGGGAGGUAGUGGCUUCCCAAGCCGACGACGGGUAGCCGGCCUGAGAGGGCGACCGGCCACACUGGGACUGAGACACGGCCCAGACUCCUACGGGAGGCAGCAGUGGGGAAUAUUGCACAAUGGGCGCAAGCCUGAUGCAGCGACGCCGCGUGAGGGAUGACGGCCUUCGGGUUGUAAACCUCUUUCAGCAGGGAAGAAGCGUGAGUGACGGUACCUGCAGAAGAAGCACCGGCUAACUACGUGCCAGCCGCCGCGGUAAUAC